UACACAGGUAGGAAGACAGACAGGUGGACAGACAGACAGGUGGACAGAUAGACAGACAGGUGGACGGAUAGACAGGUGGACAGACAGACAGGUGGUCAGACAGACAGACAGACAGACAGACAGGUGGACAGAUAGACAGACAGGUGGACAGACAGACAGGUGGACAGACAGACAGGUGGACAGCUAGACAGGUGGACAUACAGACCGGUGGACAGAUAGACAGGUGGACAGACAGACAGGUGGACAGAUAGACAGACAGACAGGUGGACAGACAGACAGGUGGACAGAUAGACAG